rnacentral:SRP_RNA from 1 species
GGCCGGGUCCCGUGCGACGGGCAUCCGCGAACCAGGUCAGGACCGGGAGGUAGCAGCCUUCAGCGGCACCGUCCGUGCGCCGCGGGGAGCCUGGCCGUC